AACGAACGCUGGCGGCAUGCCUAACACAUGCAAGUCGAACGAGACCUUCGGGUCUAGUGGCGCACGGGUGCGUAACGCGUGGGAAUCUGCCCCUUGGUUCGGAAUAACACAGAGAAAUUUGUGCUAAUACCGGAUGAUGACGAAAGUCCAAAGAUUUAUCGCCAAGGGAUGAGCCCGCGUAAGAUUAGGUAGUUGGUGGGGUAAAGGCCUACCAAGCCGACGAUCUUUAGCUGGUCUGAGAGGAUGAUCAGCCACACUGGGACUGAGACACGGCCCAGACUCCUACGGGAGGCAGCAGUGGGGAAUAUUGGACAAUGGGCGAAAGCCUGAUCCAGCAAUGCCGCGUGAGUGAUGAAGGCCCUCGGGUCGUAAAGCUCUUUUACCAGGGAUGAUAAUGACAGUACCUGGAGAAUAAGCUCCGGCUAACUCCGUGCCAGCAGCCGCCGUAACAC
rnacentral:rRNA from 1 species